UUGGUCUGAUUCCUAGGCUUUGUCUAUGGAGAUUCUCAGUCAUCCAGGUCAUGGUUGUCCCAAAGGUGCUUUUCAAAAGGCAAUUGGACUUAGUUUAUUUCCUUGAAGACGUUUCGCUUCUCAUCCAAGAAACUUCUUCAGUUCUGACUGAAUGGCAAUGAUGAAAUGGCACCUACAAAAUGAAAGCAGGUGAAUGGGCAGUUUGCAUUGGAGGAGACACACUCUCAGGAAAUAGGUCACAGCUUCAGUCUGAAGUAGCAAUCUUUGGAUCACUAACCAGUGGCCAGCUUUGAAACAGAAGCUACUGGAAAGAUGAAUUAAAUGAACAACAAGGAUUGUCCCAAGAGAACCUGGUGUACUGCUGUUUCUCCUCUUCAAACAACAGCUCUUAAUAGAGGUGAACUUCCUUCAGUUCUGUGUGGUCCAGCUGCUUCCUAAUUUGAUAGUGCCGAUACAUCAAACCUCGUGGGAACAUUACUAUAUGGUGACAAAAAGGCAUAGUUGGGAAGCAUUUUUCAGAGUGAGAGAAAGUCAGCAAUUCUGUCUUAAAGUCUAACUUCAGUGUUUUCCUGAUACCAGUCUUUUUCAACAGGAAAAGAGAACUCUAACCCCCCCUCUCCCCAUGAUAAAUUUCCUUACAGAGAAAAAGGUAAUCUAAUAUUUUCAGAUGUCAAGAUGGUGCAUGCCAGGCCUUGCAUCUCAGGGUAGGGCUAUAGUGGGUAACAUCUGUUUAACAUUAUUCAGAGGAAAACCCCAAAGUGGCUCUUUUUGAAGUUCACAAGAGCCAGCCUGGGGUAUUUGACAAUCUGCCAAAACACCACCACCACCACUACCUUCUCAUGUAAAUAUGCUUGCUUCUGGCUCUUCACAAACCGCAUGUUUUUGGAUUAGAUCUAUGCAUAUUUACCCAGAAAUAAUUCCAGUUGCUUUCCAAUACUGAGUUAUCUUCUUCAUUCAGCUACUGUAGUAAAUUCUGCCACCUGAUUUUCAUCCUACCAUUUCCUAUUGAAUGUCUUUCGAGAGUGUUACUGAAUUUAAAAUCAAGGUUUGUUUAAAAUUAACUUGUUAAAAGGGAAGCCUGAACUGUGCUUCUCUAUUUCUCAUCAAUAUUUCACAACUAAUAUCCAUAUUUCACAAGUAAUUACCACAGAUACUACCAUUUUUUAAGCGUUUAAGACACUUCAAAAAUAGGCAGUGAAGGAUGGAUAUUAUCCCAAUGUCUUCAGACACCCUGAUAUCCACUGUCCUAAAUUUACAUCUAGAAAAUGUUGGAGGGCAUACAGUAUUAGAAAUCUACAUAGAUUGGCUGUGUUUGAAAAUGAAUGUAUUUCCUGUUUUAAAACAAAGAACAGAGAACUUGCAAUAGCUCAUACUUUCUAACAAAAUGUAAAACCUUUAUUAAUAGGUAGCAAUUUUAGUGUGACAGUUGCUUAUUGAACUUAACAAACCUAACAUAAUUCAGUUACUUUUUCCUUAAUACAGUUAACACAGUAAAAAGUGGGAGAAAAAUUCUGAUAUUAGAGCCAUGGUGGCGGAGUGGUUAGAAUGCAGUAUUGCAGGCUAAUUCUGCUGACUGCCAGCAGUUUGAUCCUGACCAGCUCAAGGUUGACUCAGCCCUUCAUCCUUCUGAGAUCAGUAAAAUGAGGAAUCAGAUUGUUGUGGGCAAUAUGCUGUCUCUGUAAACUGCUUACAGCGGGCUAUAAAGCACUUUGAAGCCAUAUAUAUAAUAAGUCUAAGUGUUAUUGCUAUACGGUGAGGAAGAACCUCAUACUUAUUGAUGGAACCUAUUAACAGAGUUACUCAAAGCUUAUCUUUACAUUUCUCUAACCAUAGCAUGAAUACAUCUCCCUAUCAUUUUUAAGGGACAUAUCUCGGUUUUAUUCCCACACUGUUAUGGAAACACCCUGAAGUCAUUUUUAAUUGAUCUGUCAUUAAAAUGUAUUUUCUGUCACCAUUUAAACAACCUUGGUAAUAAUACAGUCAAGGGCGGGAUCUGUCUGGGUCAUACAGUACAGGCCUUUUAAGUCUUCCCUAUCCAAUCACUGUUCUCUGUGGUCAUUUUGGCUUCUGCUGCCUUUUUGGUUCUGAUGUGGGAAGUUUGAUUUUUCUUCCAUAAGGAAGUUUAGGGAAGAACGUUUAGUCCAACGUGAAUACUGCUUUCUACUUAAGAGUUAUCCUUGCAUUUAGAUUUUAAUUCUGUUUUGCCUGAAUUACGUUUCAGCUUGUUUCUGACAUCUAGUCCAACACUACCUACCCAGUCCAGAACCUUCAUUGUCAUCCUAUAUUCAGACAAAUGGAACUGGACAGAUUAAGUAUUGGCACUGUAUUUCAAAUCACUGGACAACCUCUUCUAAUUAUUUUAUGGGAAUGUCAAACAACUGAAAACGGGAUGUGAAUCUCCACAAUGAGAAAGAGCUUAACUUAUUUGUCCUAUAGAGCCACACCAGGAACUCAUCCACAAGACAAAAUUGGAAUCGGUACAAAAUAGAAGAGUGAAAUUUCUAUUCCUGAUUUUACAAUAUAUCUGUAGGAAAAUGAUAUAUAUCUGUCUGCGCUUUGAAAUCUUAAAAGAGAUACAAUUGUAAUUUACAUCCAGACUGUUAUAUAUAUCAGUGCUUUAUUAAGCAAUCAGUACAGUAUUUGAGUGCAUGCACUUGCGAAACUAUUUGGAAGGUGAGAACCAGUUUUGCACAAUCUGUAUAGUCAUCUGGUAGCCUUUCAUGGGAAUUUGUUCCUAGCUAAUUGUUGAAGGGACCUUCUGUUUGUCUCUAACUUUUCUUGGCAGGGCAAUGCAACAUAAAGAUGUAUGCUUUGGAAUCCUUUUGUUAGAAGAGGAAGUACAGGAUGGAUGGAUGGAUGGAUGGAAGGAAGGAAGGGCAAUUUAAGAAAAACUAACAAAUGAAAAACAUUUCCCCAUGGCAAUCUAAAGAAGGUGGUAGUUGACAUUAUCUUGUAUUCUUUGAUCUUUCAUUUGUAUCAAAAGAAAGUAAAUGCUUGUAGUUGCUUUCUCCGCUCUUUUUUAUAAACAUAAGGUACUGGCGAGAAUUCCCAAAAGCUUAGAAUACCUUCCACAGUUUUCAUAAAACUACUGCUUGUGAAUUGCCUGAGAAGCUUCCUUUGCUGAUAAAAUAUUCUAAUUACCACUGCUUGGUUUAGAAGCUCCCUGUUGUGAAUCCCUAAUAGCAAUGUAGAAAGUAAGGAUAACAUUAUUAUUUCAUUCAUCCAUCUUGCUGUGAUGCACAGCAUGAAGAAAGGCCCAAAUGCUGCUGCAAUAACUAAAGGUCAAUUUGAAAUAUAUAGAGAAAAAGUUAUGACCUGCUAAUCUGAAUUAGGCAUCAUCUUCCUUUAAAAAUGCUUGCAAAGUGUAAUCCAAAGUACAAAAGGCUGACUUUUCUUAACAGAUUCAAUAGAACGUACUUCAGUCAGAGACUGUACAAUACAAAAGCAGUAGCAGUUAUUACAGACUAAACUGAACAAGGUCAAGGAAGCACAGUAUUAUGAACAAAAUCAAGAAAUAGAAAUCAGGCAAACAGGAAAAAGAAACAGUAAUCUGCAAAAAAUGUCAAGAAUAGGGAAGCAGAGAUAGCCCAACAGGAGCUUUAUUACAAUGCUGUAGCUAAUAUUUUGAUCAAGAAGCCAAAUAUAUUAUCUCCUCCUCAGAUAAAAAGACAGCUAAAUAUCCCCAUUUAUCAUGUUUUCAUUUUAUUUCCAAUUAAUUCUCCCAACCACAGUAAGGAUAAAUUCAUUUAUAUAAACAAUGAAUAAAUUACAUGAAGAAUAUACCAAAAUAAUGGUGAAAAUGUUUACAUAAAUCCUGCUAUUAUACUCUGACUGCUCCUCAAAAUGGCCUCACUGUCUUCAUAGUAAUCAAGUUCAGUAUUUAAUUUUCAGCAACUAUACAGGUGUCUCCAGGUGCUCACAAGUAAAAGGCCACUCCUGGUUGUUCCUAAGUAUCUAAUAAUCAGAUUAUAUAACGGUUUAGCCAUGGGGAUUACAUUUAGCUCUCAGGAUCAAUACGCAUUGAUAGAUUUAAUUCUCAGAAAAUUGUCAAGUCUUGUUUUGAAACCAUGUAACCCUUAGCACUUAUUCCAGUACUUCAUUGGUUGUGAAGAACUCCUACACAAACGCCAUUAAAAUGAAAUGAUGGUUACAGGCUACCAGAGGUUUUGAUGGUGUGGGGGAGAAAUGUAGAAGGUUAUAAUCCUGAAGACUGUGUGGGUGACAUAUUUCUGUUGCCAGCAAUAGAAAGAGGAAAAAGUUUUUCAAUAUAUAUUUUAUGUAUUUCAAUCUAAAGAACAGUAAUCAUAAUGAAAUAUUUUAAAAAUUAUUUCUCUUUAUCCUGCCAAAAUGAGAGAAACACCUAAAAUGAUCUGCCCAGAAAGGAUUUUUGGAUAUAUUUAUUUAUUUGAUUUGUAUGGCAGAAUCACAAUUAUGGGUAUAUAAAACUAUUGACAAUGAGGGACUUCUCUAAGGUAGCAUAAUUAGUUGGAUUACAAACUGAGUUCAAUCUAUCAUAGGUGCUUUCUGUGCUAAUUCUUUACCUGCUAUGACAAUGGCAAAGAUUCCUAGGGAAUGUGAUAUAGCUGGAGGAAGUUGUAGUAAAGAGAAAACAAAGUAACAUUCUUCUAAAAUAAAAGACUUGUUUAUUUUAAAAAUAAACAAAAUCCAAAUUGACGGAUGGAGUAACUCAAUGAAGGGAGACAAAAGAAUAUUGAAAGCAAUUUAGGAAAAAGGAAAGAAGUGUAAUCUUUCCAGGACUUGCACCGAACUUCAAGAACUGAAUUUAACAUAAAAGCCAGACUCAUAAC